rnacentral:rRNA from 1 species
CCUACGGGCGGCAGCAGUGAGGAAUAUUGGUCAAUGGGCGAGAGCCUGAACCAGCCAAGUCGCGUGAGUGAGUACUGCCCUAUGGGUUGUAAACCUCUUUUGUCGGGGAGCAACAGCCGGACGUGUCCGGCUGUGAGAGUACCCGUAGAAAAAGCAUCGGCUAACUCCGUGCCAGCAGGCGCGGUAAUACGGGGGAGGCGAGCGUUAUCCGGAUUUUUUGGGUUUGAAGGGUGCGUCGGCGGAUUUUUAAGUCAGCGGUCAAAUCGUGGGGCUCAACCCCAUCCAGCCGUUGAAACUGGGGAUCUAGAGUGUGCGAGAGGUAUGCGGAAUGCGUGGUGUAGCGGUGAAAUGCAUAGAUAUCACGCAGAACC